AGACUCUGUAAUAAAUUUAGAGUAUAUGAGAUAUAUAAAAAUCCUUAUUAUCAAGUGAGAAGUACAGAAUGACAGUAACAUAGUUUACCUCAAUAAAUAAUGUAUCAUAAAGUUGUUCAACAGAUAAAAGAGAUGAAAUUUUAUUUCCUGUUUUUCCUGUAAGCCAAAACAUUAUCUUUGUCUUCAGGAAUAGUAUGCACUGGAAUAGGCAUCCAUUUGAAAUUACUCCAUACUUGUUUACCAACUGGAGGAUAAAGUCCAGCAAGAUGUGAUUCAGCUGACAUUAAGGUACGAUCUACAUCUGUACUUUGAAUAUAAAUAUCAUAUGGAGAAUAUAGGUCACUUAGUAGAUGUGAAUAGCGUUUGCGGAUCCAACGACCAAGUAGUAAAUGCUGAUAUUUUCCAAUCUGAUGUAACAGACACAUAUGAGCUAGGACUUAAAUAUUUUGAAAUUAAAAAGAUUUUAAAAUCAAACAAAAAUUUGCAACAACAUUAAAUGCAACAAAAGUAAUACAAUAAAGAAAAGAUCAUUAAAUAAUUAAGCUAUAUAUAUGAUAAUUAAGAAUUACAUACAUUUGUUAAUUGGCCAUAUGGGACUUGCCACAAACUUUCAUUGUUAUAAGGAUCAUUCGGGUAUGGUCUUAUGGGUGUUCUAUCUCCAUGUCUGUAUAACUGUAAAAUAGAUUGUAAUUAUUUUUAAUAAACAAUGACAAUGAUUAUUAUUAUAA